GAUGAACGCUGGCGGCGUGCUUAACACAUGCAAGUCGAACGGAAAGGCCCUGCUUUUGUGGGGUGCUCGAGUGGCGAACGGGUGAGUAACACGUGAGUAACCUGCCCUUGACUUUGGGAUAACUUCAGGAAACUGGGGCUCGUACCGGAUAGGAGCUCCUGCUGCAUGGUGGGGGUUGGAAAGUUUCGGCGGUUGGGGAUGGUCUAGAGGCUUAUCCGCUUGUUGGUGGGGUAGUGGCUUACCAAGGCUUUGACGGGUAGGCUGCCUGGGAGGGUUGACGGCCUCAUUGGGCCUGCGGUACGGACCAGACGCGUACGUGACGCAGUAGGCGGGAGCAUUGCACAGCGGGGCGGAGCGUGAUGUGGCGAUGUCCGGAUCGUGAUGCCCUCCUUUGGGUGAUGAACCGCUUUCUCCGUAGACGAAGAGUGAUUGACGGUAACUGGUAAAGAAGCACCGGCUAACUACGUG
rnacentral:rRNA from 1 species